ensembl:snRNA U6 U6 spliceosomal RNA
GUGCUUGCUUCAUCAGCACAUGUACUAAAAUUGGCACGAUACAAAGAUUACCAGCAUGGCCCCUGCCCAAGGAUGACACACACAUCUAUGAAGCGUUCCAUAUUUUU